GUUACUUCCCCAAUCUUCUGAAUUUUUGUCACUGCUUUGGUUCUUCUUCAGAAUUUAAUUUGAUAUUGAUGUGGCUGAUAAGAGAAUGCAAACUAGCAAAUUAGGAUGUAUGUGAGGAUCAACAAACUGCAAUAGCCGUCUAAAGCUCUGAAUUCUUUGUGCAGUUACGCUGGUGGGGCAGAGCGCUCCUCCGGAGAUGCUGCAGAUGCUGACUUACCUCGCCAUGAAGCACGACGCCAACAUGCAGCGUGUCGACACAGUCCGGGCUUACAGCUUCGGGGCUCUCUACUUUGUCGAGGUAUUAUGUUGGCUUUCCAAAGGCACUGCAAGAGGAUGGGAAGAACAAGAAAUCUGGGAAAAGAUGCCAGUUAUAUCUUAAUACACAGGUUAUGCACUUAUGAUGCAUACUCAUGCGGUUUAUUAUGUCAGAAGAAAAUACAUGAGACUCCAUGCGUUCCUGAGCAGGUUCAGUGUCACUAUAUCAUUGAUAUUGACCAUACUUCUGGUACAAAAAAUGUACAAAUGGCACACCAAUUCCUAAGUAGUGCAUUUCCUUUGCUUAGAAUCCUUUUCUAUGUAGGUUCUUUUGGUAUGCCUUUCUGUUAAGAACUUGAGUAAUUUCAAACUAUGGAUCUUUCAAUGCAUAUUUGAGCAGUGUGUCCCUAUUUGGUAUGUUGCCUUUGCUCAUGUUCCUUCUCUAAGUGAGUAAUUUCAAAUUCGGGAUCUUUCUAUGAAUAUUUGAAGUUUGGUGUCAAAUGUUUGCCUUUGCUCAGCCUUUCUCAUCAUUUUUGUUUUUCCUUAUCAGGGCGUGAAACAUUCAUCAUCAUGGAGUCCAGAUUAUGCAUUCUCUUUCUGAUGGCACCUAAGACCUAACGUAUCAUAAAUAAUAAAAUAAUCCGAAGUCCUUCACACACCUUGGCUGCGUGUAUCUGCCCAUCUUUCUUUUAUUCAGAACAAACAGAGCAACGAUAUAGCUCACAGCUAAAUCCAAACACACAACACGACAAUACCUAGACCUGGCAAUGAAAAUUAGAAAGAAAGCACACCACAAAGUAAUAGUAAUAGUUCAGCUUUUGGUCUAAAACUACAAACAAAAUUGCUUUGAUACAAUUUUAUGAUGUAUGAUUCUGAUACCUACAACGUUCUCCUUAUUGUUUUGCUUCAAAGAUUCCAGUGUUUAUCUUUAAGAUGUAGACUUUAUUUACACAUCAUUGACUAUUUAAUUUGUCUUUCUCUGCUACUCUCUUCCAAUUGCACGGGCCAUCUCCACAACAGAGGUUACGUAUAGUGUUGGAAAUCAUGCAUACUGUCACCCUGCCAUCAUCAGCCAUCUAGCGUUGCAGCCCUCUCGGCCCGUCUGAGGUGAGGUACAUGAAUCGAUAUAUGUUUGGUACCAAUUAUUUUGUCUAGAGCUUAUUCAGUUCAGCUCAUCAGUGGAAGACGUUAAGCUGACCUGUAUUGGUGGCCAGUAUGUACUGAGUUACAUGUGCAUAGUAUUACAUGUGCAUAGUAAUAUUCAGUUCAGCUACUCAUCAUUAAUCCUCUUUGUGCGGUUUUCUGGAUUAUAAGAUUGAGCAUGGAGUGUGCCUUGCGAGAGAUUUGACCAUGGAGUUUACUAGAUUUGAUUUUGCCCCUUCAUGAUUUUGUUCUAUUUAGCUCAUUGGUUCCUUAUGAUCUUUGCUAUUGAAGCAUUAGCGGCCUCGAUAGUACCAGCACCGGGAUCGUCAUCUAGGUUUUUGCCUACUGUCUCUAGACCGUAUGUUGCGCCACAAUGGACUGUCGAGAGAUCAGCGGCAGCGAGAUGCAGCCUACAGGCCCAUUAGUUCGAGGAGAUUGGUCCCUAACAACUGAAGCAGCCAUUCAGUUGGCCUAAAGGACAUCAACAACAAUGGGAGCAUUUGUGUCGACAUAUUGAAGGACGAAAGGAGCUCUACUCUAACUAUUUCCAAGCCAAUGAAGGCGGAAUAGGGAAGGCUUCCAGUUCAGUUACUUCCAGAGAUGCAUGGUUGAUAAUUGAUGAGUUGUGAAGGCCCAGUUCACUUACUUACAGAGCUGACUGAUAAGUGAGGAGUUUUGCAAGUGGUUUUCAUCAUAACAUGGUAGGCACAGAGCAAUUUCUUGGAAGUGUUGAAGUAAGAAUAUGUGCUUAGCUAUUAAUUUAAAUGUGCAUUCACAGAGAUUAAAGCAUGUGGGCCGUCCGAUUUUUAAGCAUUAGCAAGGGGUUGUGGCCUUGUGGGUGACACCGUAUGGGCAACACAAUUAUUCUUCACCGAUCAGUUUUGCAUGUUCAACA